AUUUCAUUCCUCUCCUACGCACAAACAGCCGAGCAGCCAAGGGAGAGCUAAACCAGAAAAUUCCUCCACCCUCUCUCCUCAAUUCCUUGCUCAAUUUCCUCCAAAUUUCACAUGCAACCCUCAAAUCAUUUGAUGAUCAAGAUAAGCUAGGAAUAGAGCUAACUCACACGGUUUUUCUCCAGCUCAAAGUGACCGAAAAUCUCUGUCUUGGCUCUCUAAGAAAGCUCGCAUGAGAACCUUCAAGAGGAUCCUACGGUAGACGCUUGAAUUUCAAGUAACAUUUCUCCUUGAUUGACUGGGAUUUGGCAUGGAAUGGUACUUGGAGGAACUCUUUUGAUACACUUCUGGCUUAGGGUUUUAAUAUAUUUUGAGCUAGACCUCUUACUGGUUGUACUUCGGAAACCUAAUAUAUGGUUUGAAUAUUUGAUGUACCCGGAUGUAGUAUAUUUUGGGUAUUGAUGUACUUUUUGAGAAUUUAAUGUAAUGAUUGGAUAAGCGUUAUGUAUAUUAUUAAGUUUGGAAGUUUCCGCACUUUCUUACUUAUCUAGUGUUAUUGAAUGGUUUUGCUUUAAACUUGAAUGGAUGCUGCUUGAGUCCUGGCGAGAGUUGGGUAGACGUCCCGCAGAAACCCUCUGGUUCGCCUUAGGGAGAAGUAGGGGCGCCACACAUUUUCUGUCGUUUUGCCCUUGCAUUGUUCCUAUAUGUCUUUUGUCUGUGGUAUGUUAAUACGUACAUGUAUAGUACUUGCUGCCUUUGACUAUUUAUCGAACUUGAAAUGUCUCUUUGUGUGUAUGGUGCGUUAUAUUGUGUAUAUGUCUCCUUGUGUAUUUGAUGUGUUAUAUCUUGUUAUUUUAGUCAAUUUACUUCGUUAUAUAUUAAAUCACCUU